rnacentral:snoRNA from 1 species
GCGAAGGAUUAUUCAUUUUUAACCCCGAGAGUGGCCCGUCUGGGUCCUCGUUGAAGAUUACAAACGCAACAACACUCUAAUUUUUUCAUGACG